AGUGCAUGUGGUGGAUGCCUUGGCGAUCACAGGCGAUGAAGGACGCGGCAGUCUGCGAAAAGCCCCGGGGAGCUGACAACGAGCUUUGAUCCGGGGAUCUCCGAAUGAGGGAACUCCAUGCUCUUGCAUGAUCCGCAGGUGAAUACAUAGCCUGCGGAGGCGAACGCAGCGAACUGAAACAUCUAAGUAGCUGCAGGAAAAGAAAUCAACCGAGAUUCCGGAAGUAGCGGCGAGCGAAACCGGAGCAGCCUGAAUCCGAUACUGGAAUUGGCACUGGAAGGACCUGGAAAGGUCCGCCGCAGAGGGUGACAGCCCCGUACGGGAAGCCAUGAACAGGGUACUGAGGAUUCGAAAAGUAGAACGGGGCACGUGAAACCCUGUUCGAAGACGGGGGGACCAUCCUCCAAGGCUAAAUACUCGUGAUCGACCGAUAGCGCACCAGUACUGUGAAGGAAAGGCGAAAAGAACCCCGGGAGGGGAGUGAAACAGAUCCUGAAACCGCAUGCAUACAAACAGUAGGAGCCCUUCGGGGUGACUGCGUACCUUUUGCAUAAUGGGUCAGCGACUUAUGUUGUGUGGCAAGCCUAACCGAGUAGGGGAGGCGCAGCGAAAGCGAGUCCGAACAGGGCGUUCAGUCGCACGGCAUAGACCCGAAACCAGAUGAGCUAGCCAUGGCCAGGCUGAAGGUGUGGUAACACACACUGGAGGGCCGAACGCACUGGUGUUGCAAAACCAGGCGAUGAGCUGUGGCUAGGGGUGAAAGGCUUAACAAAUCUGGAGAUAGCUGGUUCUCCCCGAAAACUAUUGAGGUAGUGCCUCGUGCACGAGCUUCCGGGGGUAGAGCACUGUUAUAGCUAGGGGGACAUGGCGUCUUACCAAACUAUGGCAAACUCCGAAUACCGGAAAGCUUCGCACGGGAGACAGAGCACCGGGUGCUAACGUCCGGACUCAAAAGGGAAUCAACCCAGACCGCCAGCUAAGGUCCCUAAUAUCAGCUAAGUGGAAAACGAAGUGGAAAGGCUAAAACAGUCAGGAAGUUGGCUUAGAAGCAGCCAUCCUUCAAAGAAAGCGUAAUAGCUCACUGAUCGAGUCCUUCCGCGCGGAAGAUGUAACGGGGCUAAGUUGAUAACCGAAGCUGCGGAUUCGAUGCUUUGCAUCGAGUGGUAGGGGAGCGUUCUGCAAGCCUGUGAAGGCGGCCCGCAAGGACUGCUGGAGGUACCAGAAGUGCGAAUGCUGACAUGAGUAACGAUAAAGCGGGUGAAAAGCCCGCUCGCCGCAAGCCCAAGGUUUCCUGCUCUACGUUCAUCGGAGCAGGGUGAGUCGGUCCCUAAGGCCAGGCUGAGAAGCGUAGCUGAUGGGAAUCAGGUCAAUAUUCCUGAACCGGCAUUGAAUGCGACGGGGUGACGGAGCAGCCAGAGCAGACCGGGUGUUGGACGUCCCGGCUUCCGAGCGAUGGGUGCCGGCAGGAAAAUCCGCCGGCGAUUGCCCAGGACGAAGGAUCGGGCCUUUCCUCGUGAAAGGCGAAGCUGCUGGAAGCGCUUCCAGGAAAAUCCCCUAAGCUCCAGUUCAAUGGCGACCGUACCGCAAACCGACACAGGUGGGCGAGCUGAACAUGCUCAGGCGCUUGGGAGAACUCGGGAGAAGGAACUCGGCAAAUUGACACCGUAACUUCGGAAGAAGGUGUGCCUUUGUAGCUUGACGGGAGGAAAACCCGGAGGGCGAAGAGGUCUCAGAGAAUCGGUGGCUGUAACUGUUUACUAAAAACACAGCGCUCUGCAAAGAUGAAAGUCGACGUAUAGGGCGUGAUGCCUGCCCGGUGCUGGAAGAUUAAUUGAUGGGCUGCAAGGUCCUGAUCGAAGUCCCAGUAAACGGCGGCCGUAACUAUAACGGGCCUAAGGUAGCGAAAUUCCUUGUCGGGCAAGUUCCGACCUGCACGAAUGGCAUAAUAAUGGCCACACUGUCUCCUCCCGAGACCCAGUGAAAUUGAAAUGUUUGUGAUGAUGCAAUCUCCCCGCGGCUAGACGGAAAGACCCCAUGAACCUUAACUGUAGCUUUGCAUUGGACUUUGAACCGAUCUGUGUAGGAUAGGCGGGAGGCUUUGAAGGACGGACGCCAGUUCGCCCGGAGCCGUCGUUGAAAUACCGCCCUG
rnacentral:rRNA from 1 species